CCCUGAACAGGCAGUUAACCCUCUGUUCCAAGACCAGUUAACCCACUGUUCCUAGACCAGUUAACCCUCUGUUCCUAGACCAGUUAACACUCUGUUCCUAGACCAGUUAACACUCUGUGCCUAGACCAGUUAACCCUCUGUUCCUAGACCAGUUAACCCUCAGUUCCUAGACCAGUUAACCCUCAGUUCCUAGACCAGUUAACCCUCAGUUCCUAGACCAGUUAACCCUCUGUUCCGAGGCCGUCAUUGAAAAUAAGCAUUUGUUUACGUCCCUGUUCUUAACUGACUUGCCUAGUAAAAUAAAGGUAAAAAUAAAUGGUAGACACACCUAACCUCUGACCCCUCUCACAGAAAGCAGAGGAAAAUGAGCGUAAAUGGAAAAGAACCUCCACCCUACAACACACCAGUUGAAGGACAAGGUGAUAGUGGGGUGAAGGUAUAUCAUGUCCAUACCCCCUUCAACCCCGCCUUCCUCCACCAUCCCCCUCCAAUAACUACUCUGUGUUUCAGUCUCAGUCUCAGGGAAAGCCAGUGUACACCAGUGGAGGUGGUGGUAUUGGAGGAGGUGGUGAAACUCCUACUCAGAAGUUUGUGAGUUAUGACACAGAACUGGGCCGUUCAGAGGGCAUGACCACCUGCACUUCCUGUCAACAACAGGUGAUGACGAACGUGACCUAUAAAGUCGGAGCCUACGCCUGGCUCAUGUGCAUCCUCUUCAUCCUCUGUGGGUUGGUAGUGGGCUGCUGUCUGAUCCCGUUCUUCAUGAAACACUUUAAGGAUGCGUACCACUCCUGUCCUCGUUGCAACCGCAUUAUCCACGUGGACAAGCCACGCUGCUGCUGACCGCCAUACCACCACCCACCACUAGGAGAGCUGUUGCUGACUGCCAUACCACCACCCACCACUAGGAGAGCUGCUGCUGACCGCCAUACCACCACCCACCACUAGGAGAGCUGUUGCUGACUGUCAUACCACCACCCACCACUAGGAGAGCUGUUGCUGACCGCCCUACCACCACCCACCACUAGGAGAGCUGCUGCUGACUGCCACAACAUCGCCCAACACUAGGGGAGCUGUUGCUGACUGCCAUACCACCACCCACCACUAGGAGAGCUGCUGCUGACUGCCACACCAUCGCCGACCACUAGGGGGAGCUGGUGCUGUGGCCAAUAUGCUUUACUACCAGCAGGGGAGCUGUGGCUCUACUCUCAGUCUGACCACUGGCCACUCUCUCGGUCUGGAUUCCAUUAGAAGAGCACCAGUACAGUGAAAUGCCUUUCUCACAGAAAACAUGCUCCCUUUCCCUCAUGCACCCACAGCUCGGUGUAGGAAUUUGAGAGUGGUUAUAUUUAUCCAGCCCCAUCCCUCGGCUGUUUACCAAUGCAGUGGCAGGGCCAAGGUGACAGUUUUGGUAGUUCUUUGAAUUGCAGAUUGUCCUUUUAAAUUUCGGGCUUCAAUACGGCUCUUAUCUACACUCUUUCAGAACAGCGAGGGAGAGGAAAAGGGGGGGAUGUUUUCAGAAUGGAAUCCAGCCCAAGGGAGAGACCCCCUAGCAGCAGCCCCACAGAAACCUACAGGAUUACACAGUCGUAGGAUGAAUCCCAAAAUGGCACCCUACUCCCUAUAUAGUGCACUACGUUCGAGAGGGAGCUAGUACAAAAGUAGUCCACUACAUAGGGUAUAGGGUACAAUUUGGGACGCACUUUAGUUUAAAUGCUGACCGAACUUACUGUACCAGAGGGUUGUAAAUAGUAUGAAUCUGUGACCUAUUUUUUGUAAUAUAAAAAUUAAAACAAGCUAGCAGAUGAAGACGUGGUAGAGCUCAACCUGGGCCUUGUUCGCAAAGGGAGCAGGGUUGCACAGUUCUAGUAACCGACCCAGGUUUUCCACAAACCCCAGGUUGGAAUAUUGGCAUAUGAGAAGGGAAGAGGGUAGCCUGGGUACCAGUCUGUUAAGAUAUCAUUCCACUCUUUGUCUUGGCAAACGUGGCUUGACAAAGAGUGGAAUGUUAACACACAAACAGACUGGAUUUCUCCAGGCUAGGAAGAGGCAGAACAUAUGGGAAUACGCCAACCGGGACGUCUGAUUGGUUCCCGGACUAUUGCAACCCCUUGAGUAGCCUUACACAGAACCUUCAGAUAGAAAUGUGUUGUGUAGAACAGACAUGAUUCCCUGGUAAAUGUAUAUCUAUAUUCUCUUGAGUAACCUUACACACAUUUCUAUCUGAAGGUUGUGUAUAUCUGUCGGUUGGUCAACCCAGGGCCUUAAUCAAGGGAAUAUAGAUAGUAACGUAUACAUUUACCAGGGAAUCAUCUCUGUUCUACACAACACAUUUCUAUCUAUAUUCCCUUGAAUAAGGCCCUUGGUUGACCAUCCGACAGACAUCGAGCCCAAUAAUCAGAUAAUUAUCAUUAUAGCUAUGAUUCCUACAGAUCGGGCGUCAUUUAGUGCUCUCCCCAGGUCUCCCCCCCUCCCCC